rnacentral:rRNA from 1 species
GCGGCGAACGGGUGAGUAACACGUGAGCAACCUGCCCUAGGCUUUGGGAUAACCCUCGGAAACGGGGGCUAAUACCGAAUAUGACCUCGCAUCGCAUGGUGUGUGGUGGAAAGUUUUUCGGCCUGGGAUGGGCUCGCGGCCUAUCAGCUUGUUGGUGGGGUGAUGGCCUACCAAGGCGACGACGGGUAGCCGGCCUGAGAGGGCGACCGGCCACACUGGGACUGAGACACGGCCCAGACUCCUACGGGAGGCAGCAGUGGGGAAUAUUGCACAAUGGGCGGAAGCCUGAUGCAGCGACGCCGCGUGAGGGAUGACGGCCUUCGGGUUGUAAACCUCUUUCAGCAGGGACGAAGCGUAAGUGACGGUACCUGCAGAAGAAGCGCCGGCCAACUACGUGCCAGCAGCCGCGGUAAGACGUAGGGCGCGAGCGUUGUCCGGAUUUAUUGGGCGUAAAGAGCUCGUAGGCGGCUUGUCGCGUCGACCGUGAAAACCUGGGGCUCAACCCCAGGCCUGCGGUCGAUACGGGCAGGCUAGAGUUCGGUAGGGGAGACUGGAAUUCCUGGUGUAGCGGUGAAAUGCGCAGAUAUCAGGAGGAACACCGGUGGCGAAGGCGGGUCUCUGGGCCGAUACUGACGCUGAGG